UCCGCUCAACAUUUUAAAACAAAAUACAAGAAAUAUUCGGUGUGCAUUCGGUUUUCUAUAGAAAAAAAAGGAAUUUAUUGUGUAUUAAAAUAUAUAUUAUACUAGCUGAUCCCGCUGGCACUUCGUUGCCCGUUAAAUGUACCAAUUCUAUAUGACUCAAACUUUGUUCAAUUCGUUAUUUAAUAUUCGGUGUAUGGUGUAUGGUGUUCAAAAUUUAUCUUAACUUUUCUGUUGCCCGGAAUAAAAAGUUUGAUUCUCAGUAGUAUAUUAUCAGGUAAGGCAAUCUACCUAGGGUAGAACGCGGACCUCGAGCUGUUUGUACGUAAGUGUAUGAUUUAACUCUAAAGUAUCAAAAUUGUACCAAGUUUGUCAUUUUUACUUAAUUCCACCUACGGAGGAUUAAUAUAAUCAAUUAAUACAAAAGCCUAACGCAACCGUACUAAAAUCCGAUGAAUAAAAAAAAACAAAUUUAACACUUUUUAAAUUAGCCUAUCUUCUUCCCAGCGGUCUAAUCUAUACACAAACAUUCAUUUUUAUCUAUACUAAUUUAUAAAACGAUAGCGUUUGUUUGUAUGUUCGGGAUAAACUCCAAAACUACUGAACCCAUUUCGAAAAUUCUUUCACCAAUACAAAGCCACAUUCUUUGUGAGUGUCAUAGGCUAAUUUAAAAAGGGAAGUGAUCACCCCCGGUAGGUGCCUCAAACAGGAAUUUUAAGAUUUACGAUAGAAAUUUUUGUUUUUUAAUGGUUGCUAUGGGUUAUAUAUAUAGAUAAAAAUAAUUGUAUAGACGUUGUUGUUUUUGGCCAUGUCGCCAGGUGUGCACUUAAGAGGCCAUAACUCCGGAACCACUUAUCCCACAGCGUAUAAAUUUCACAGAACUAUCUACAUAUCAAUCUUAAUAUGUCCUGAAAUUUUUAUCGAAAUCGCUUUGGUAGAACAUAAGUUAUAAAAUGUAUUCAAAAUGUACACUUAUUUUUAUAUAUAUAGAUUAUUAUUGUAUAUUAUUCUGAAUUUUUUUUAAUAACUUCAAACAAGAUUGAAAUGUUUGAGACUAUAUUUUAGUAUGUCAUACACUCAUACCGAGCUUAGGAAUUUUGUGUACCUAAAUGAAUUAUUAUAAUUUUAUAAAACUUUCAAAUGCACAAUAACAAUAUUUUCUUCUAUCUUGUAUCAAUAUAGUUAGUUACUGUCACAACAGCAGUUUUUAAAAUGUUUGUCAUCAACAAUAAUAUAUCUAGGUUACUAUGGAAUAAAAAUAGUGUAAUCCAGGUGAAUCCAUCUAUAGGUACCUUGAUGUUAAUAAUAGGUUUUAUAUUUAGCCGUUAUCUCAAUCAGUCAUUAAAUAUUACAAAUAAUAUAUUAAUAUCUGAUAUUAAAUAUUAAACACCAUAAUAUUUACAAUUUAUGUGGAUAAUAUUGUUGGCUUUCACGCAUCAGCAAAUUGUGUUCAUAUACAACCAAUUAGGAUGUUACAGAUUAUUCCCUUCUAUAUUUUUUACAUGCCUAUCUAUUUACGCAAUACACAUUUAAAACUACAGCUGUUUAGAAUGAUGUUUCAGUUGUUGUUCGACGCUCAUAACCACUGGUCGACGUAGACGUGUAAUUUUUAUAACAAAUAUAAAUAUAUACAUUUUAAAACAAAAAUGGAUAAAUGGAAUGGAAAAGUUGCUGUAGUUACAGGUGCUUCUUCUGGAAUCGGAAAGGAGACUUGUAGACAUCUGGUUGAAAAUGGAAUGAUUGUUGUUGGUUUUGCUAGAAGAGAAGAUAAACUUCAGGAGAUAGAAAAGGAUUUAAAAGGAAAACUGGGAACAUUUUAUUACGUUAAAGUUGAUUUGUGUUCGGAAGAAAACAUUUUGGAAGCUUUUAAUUGGGUAAAGAGAACAUUGAAAUCGGUUGACGUACUAGUUAACAAUGCAGGUGUUUGGAAGCAAAGUGAUUUACUGGGAAACACGAAUGAUUGGAAACAAAUGUUUGACACUAAUGUCAUAGGUUAUACCAUUUGUAGCAGAGAGGCCAUACAAAUCAUGGAGGAAAUAAAAAUCAAAGAGGGUCACAUAAUAAAUAUUAACAGUGUUGCAGGUCAUUUUAAAAUUCCAUAUAUGAAGGAUAUUUCAGUUUAUACUGCUACCAAACAUAGUGUUACUUCAAUUACAGAAAAUUUAAGAGAAUUGAUGGGCAUGAAAGGUUUACCCAUCAGAAUCACGAGUAUCAGCCCAGGUGCAGUAGAAACCGAAAUGACAGAAGAGUUAAGCAAAUUAGGAGUGAAUAAGAUGUUGAAAUCUAUUGACAUUGCUGAAGCUAUUAUCUACGCAUUGAGUGCACCGCAGCGUGUCAACGUCGCCGAAAUUAUCAUAAGACCAACAGGCGAUAAUACAUUAUCUUUUAUUAAGAAUUUUGUAUAGAUAUCAAUUAUGAUUAACACACAUCCGUGAUCUGUACCUCAAUAUUAAACAAUAUAAACGAUUUAUAUGCGUAAUAACCAAUAGUGAUUAAUGUUAUCAUACCAUCUUAACCUAUGCCCAAGGCCUGUGUCACUACCCAUCAACAUUCGUCACAACUUCAUAUUGUAAUACUCAGUAAUGCAGAUUGUUGUUUGUCAAAAUAAAAAACCGUUUCAAUA